rnacentral:rRNA from 1 species
AAAGGAAUAGACGGGACCCCGCACAAGCAGCGGAGCAUGUGGUUUAAUUCGACGCAACGCGAAGAACCUUACCAAGACUUGACAUCGCCUGACAGGCACAGAAAUGUGUUAUCCUAGCAAUAGGCAGGUAGACAGGUGGUGCAUGGUUGUCGUCAGCUCGUGUCGUGAGAUGUUUGGUUAAGUCCAGCAACGAGCGCAACCCCUAUCAUUAGUUGCCAAUAUUCAGUUAGGGACUCUAAUGAGACUGCCGUUGAUUAAAAAACGGAGGAAGGUGGGGAUGACGUCAAAUCAUCAUGCCCCUUACGUCUUGGGCUACACACGUGCUACAAUGGCUAUUACAAAGAGCAGCGAAAUCGCAAGGUGGAGCGAAUCUCAAAAAGAUAGUCUCAGUUCAGAUUGAGGGCUGCAACCCGCCCUCAUGAAGUCGGAGUUGCUAGUAAUCCCGAAUCAGAAUGUCGGGGUGAAUGCGUUCCCGGGGUUUGUACACACCGCCCGU